rnacentral:tRNA from 1 species
AAUAAGUUGGCAGAAUAGUGCCACCGACUUAGGAACGGUUCAUGGGUUAUCCCACUUAUUA